UAGUGGCGAACGGGUGAGUAACACGUGGGUAACCUGCCCAUAAGAGGGGGAUAACAUCCGGAAACGGAUGCUAAUACCGCAUAGGUCUUUGAGACGCCUGUCUCUUAGAUGAAAGGUGGCUUCGGCUGCCGCUUAUGGAUGGACCCGCGGCGUAUUAGCUAGUUGGUGAGGUAAUGGCUCACCAAGGCUGUGAUACGUAGCCGACCUGAGAGGGUGAUCGGCCACACUGGGACUGAGACACGGCCCAGACUCCUACGGGAGGCAGCAGUAGGGAAUCUUCCACAAUGGGUGCAAACCUGAUGGAGCAAUACCGCGUGAGUGAAGAAGGUCUUCGGAUCGUAAAGCUCUGUUGUUAGAGAAGAACAAGCCGGGUAGUAACUGCCCCGGCCUUGACGGUAUCUAACCAGAAAGUCACGGCUAACUACGUGCCAGCAGCCGCGGUAAUACGUAGGUGACAAGCGUUGUCCGGAUUUAUUGGGCGUAAAGCGAGCGCAGGCGGUCUUUUAAGUCUGAUGUGAAAGCCCACGGCUCAACCGUGGAGGGUCAUUGGAAACUGGAAGACUUGAAUGCAGAAGAGGAAAGUGGAAUUCCAUGUGUAGCGGUGAAAUGCGUAGAUAUAUGGAGGAACACCAGUGGCGAAGGCGACUUUCUGGUCUGUAAUUGACGCUGAGGCUCGAAAGCGUGGGGAGCGAACAGGAUUAGAU
rnacentral:rRNA from 1 species